GAUGAACGCUAGCGGCAGGCUUAAUACAUGCAAGUCGAGGGGCAGCAUGACUGUAGCAAUACAGUUGAUGGCGACCGGCAAACGGGUGCGGAACACGUACAGAACCUUCCUUCGAGCGGGGAAUAGCCCAGAGAAAUUUGGAUUAAUACCCCAUAGUACAACGGAGUGGCAUCACUUUGUUGUUAAAGAUUUAUCACUUGAAGAUGGCUGUGCGGCUGAUUAGGUAGUUGGCGGGGUAACGGCCCACCAAGCCUGCGAUCAGUAACUGGUGUGAGAGCACGACCAGUCACACGGGCACUGAGACACGGGCCCGACUCCUACGGGAGGCAGCAGUAAGGAAUAUUGGUCAAUGGACGAAAGUCUGAACCAGCCAUGCCGCGUGGAGGAUGAAGGUCCUCUGGAUUGUAAACUUCUUUUAUAUGGGACGAAAAAAGGGUUUUCUAACUCGUCUGACGGUACCAUAUGAAUAAGCACCGACUAACUCCGUGCCAGCAGCCG
rnacentral:rRNA from 1 species